GAACCAGGGAAGGAGAAUGACAUCAGACUGGGCUUGUGCCUGAUAAUUCAUUUCUGAAGGUGCAAUAUUAAGUGUCACAGUGUCCAGCUGGUGAUAUUUUCAGCAUAGAAACCUGUUAGACACGGCAGCAUUAAGGAGAUGGAAUGAAUUGAUUUAUUUCUCUUCUGAAUUGCUUGGCAGUGCUUCAAGAUUGACGCAUCAGAUUUGCACAAUGUGCCACUUUAGGAGAUUAUUUCUUCCUUCCUUCAGCCAGACAGAAGACUGCAGUAGGGAUAUGGUUCCUGUUUGCCUAUUUCCAUCCACAACUCUGCCAGAGACGAAAGCAGUGUUUGAAACAAUUCACCAAGAUUUCCAUCUGGAAUCAUCAAGAAUGGAAUUGAUCAAAUUCCUUAAGAAAUUUACUUAAAGUCAUGAUUUUGACAGCCUAGUGCUACCUGGAAAAGGGACAGCAGCAGCCUGGAGCAGUUUUCUAGCUAACAAGAAUUUUGUUAGCUAUGUGGCCACCUAGUGGCUCUUCCAUGGAUGUCGCUGAUGCAUUGUCAGGUACACAGACAAUUGCCCACUAAUAAAGAAGUUAUUAUCUUUCUUGGAA
rnacentral:lncRNA from 1 species